rnacentral:rRNA from 1 species
UACAGAGGUCCCAAGCGUUGUUCGGAUUCACUGGGCGUAAAGGGUGCGUAGGUGGGUAGGUAAGUCAGUGGUGAAAUCUCCGGGCUUAACCCGGAAACUGCCAUUGAUACUAUUUAUCUUGAAUACUUUGGAGGUAAGCGGAAUAUGUCAUGUAGCGGUGAAAUGCUUAGAUAUGACAUAGAACACCAAUUGCGAAGGCAGCUUACUACACAGUCAUUGACACUGAGGCACGAAAGCGUGGGGAUCAAACAGG